rnacentral:rRNA from 1 species
UACGAAGGGGGCUAGCGUUGCUCGGAAUUACUGGGCGUAAAGCGCACGUAGGCGGCUUGUUAAGUCGGGGGUGAAAUCCUGGAGCUCAACUCCAGAACUGCCUUCGAUACUGGCGAGCUCGAGUUCGGGAGAGGGAAGUGGAAUUCCCGGUGUAGUGGUGAAAUGCGUAGAUAUCGGGAGGAACACCAGUGGCGAAGGCGACUUCCUGGCCUGUUCUUGACGCUGAGGCGCGAAAGCUAGGGGAGCAAACGGG